GUUGAAACGCCCCUGAAUCCCUAUCAGGGAUUGAAAC
rnacentral:other from 1 species